UAGGGAAUCUUCCACAAUGGACGCAAGUCUGAUGGAGCAACGCCGCGUGAGUGAAGAAGGUUUUCGGAUCGUAAAGCUCUGUUGUUGGUGAAGAAGGAUAGAGGCAGUAACUGGUCUUUAUUUGACGGUAAUCAACCAGAAAGUCACGGCUAACUACGUGCCAGCAGCCGCGGUAAUACGUAGGUGGCAAGCGUUGUCCGGAUUUAUUGGGCGUAAAGCGAGCGCAGGCGGAAUGAUAAGUCUGAUGUGAAAGCCCACGGCUCAACCGUGGAACUGCAUCGGAAACUGUCAUUCUUGAGUGCAGAAGAGGAGAGUGGAAUUCCAUGUGUAGCGGUGGAAUGCGUAGAUAUAUGGAAGAACACCAGUGGCGAAGGCGGCGCUCUGGUCUGCUACUGACGCUGAGGCUCGAAAGCAUGGGUAGCGAACAGG
rnacentral:rRNA from 1 species